GCUGAUGUUGCAGAAGUCUGCAUUCAGGUACUAAUUUUAUAAAUUGUUCGCAAUUGGAAACAUGUAUUUUUUCUGGGAAUUUUUCUACUGCUUCUCAAGAUUGCAUUGGGUCCUUAGGCUGUUUGUUUUGAGUACUCAUUUGCUUUUAAAUUUUAACCCUUCCUCUCUCAUGAACAGGCAUUACAAUUCGAGGAAGCAAAAUUUAAGGCGUAUGAUUUAGCCUCAAAGCCAGAGGGAACUGGCACUCCA
rnacentral:misc_RNA from 1 species